rnacentral:rRNA from 1 species
UAAACAUUGGUACAUUAUUACAUUUUCAAUCCGCCCGGGUACUACAAGCGCUAGCUUAAAACCCAAAGGACUUGGCGGUGCUUAAGAUCCCCCUAGAGGAGCCUGUUCUAGAACCGAUAAUCCACGUUUAACCUCACCCUCCCUUGUUUCUCCCGCCUAUAUACCGCCGUCGUCAGCUCACCCUGUGAAGGUCUAACAGUGAGCAAAAAUGGCACAGCCCAAAACGUCAGGUCGAGGUGUAGCGCAUGAGAGGGGAAGAAAUGGGCUACAUUCUCUAAAAUAGAAGCAUACGGAUAAUAUAUUGAAAUAUAUAUUUUAAGGAGGAUUUAGCAGUAAGUAGAAAUUAGAAUAUUCCACUGAAUCCGGCCCUAAAGCGCGC